AACAGCCAUCUGGUCCAUCAACAUAUGGUACACUUUCAGAAAUAAAGCUUCCAAACUGAACUUUUCCUCAUUGCUUGGGUGAUGACAUCAAGGGGACAUGUUUUGUACCUGUAGUUUGUAUCUUUUACCUGGGAAGGUGCAUGUGGUGUACCUUUAAUCAGCUCUUAGAUUAAAACAUUAAAUGUGCAUAAAUUAUGUGCCAAUUAUGUACUUUACAUUAUAUGUAAAGGUAUAAAGAUAUGCACAUAUGGUACACAAGAUUGACACUUGAUGGUAAGACUUCAGCAACAAGGUAAGACACAGUUUGGCACCUUUAUUUCUGAGAGUGUAGAGUUUUUGUGGUAAAACGAUCAUUUUGUUUUCAUGCUAUGUGCUACGUGAUUUUCUGGUGAGGAGUUCUGACAUGUCUGUAACUCAAAAAUGACCUUUAACUCCAAAUACAACUAUGUUUAGAAAGAAAUGUGUGUGUGUGUGUGUGUGUGUGUGUGUGUGUGUGUAUGGGUUAAAGGGCUACCUCUGUGCCAAAUUGCAAUGUUGAAAUCAUUUAGUAAAUUUACUGAUAAUUAGCUUUAACGCUAACUGGGUUUUAGGCAGCAUGUUCAAAGUGGACCAUAGAUUAGGUGAUAAUACAGUUUUCAGUGUGUUAACCAAAUGUGGAGCAAUUAACAGCAGCAGCAUAUAUGCUGUCUUUCUCUCUCUCUCUCUCUCUCUCUCUCUCUCUCUCUCACACACACACACACACACACACACACACACUCACACUUUCAGCUAUUACAGUGGUCUUUCUCUUCUCUCUCGUCUAGCUGCUGAAGGGUUUGUGUAAUGGAGUGUGUGUGUGCGUGUGUGUGCGUGUGUGUGUGUGUGUGGGGGGGGUUACAAAGAAAGACAGGGACAGACGUGAGAAAGUGGAGAGAUGUGAGGACGCAACAGAGAAGUGAAAGAGCAUGGAGAGAGAAAGAGAGAAACAAAGCGCUGACACUGGAGUUAACUAAGUGUGCUGAGGUCUAUGCAAUGUUUUAGUCUGGAAAAACUCCUUUCCUUGACAUCACAGCCGGCUCAAACCCAGGCUAAAAUCACACAUAUGGAAGGAUGCUGAAUGUUCCGGGAGAACAUUCCUGAGGCAGAUAAACUUAAGCAGCAAGCCGGUGGUGACGGUGGUGAGGAAAAACUCCCUAAGAUGAUAUGAGGAAGAAACCUUGGGAGGAACCAGACUCAGAAGGAAACCCGUCCUCAUCUGGGUAACAACGGAUAGUGUGAAUUAAAGUUCAUUAUGGUUUUAUAUGAAGUCUGUUCGUUGAACUAGUCCACAGUUUACUAAAGGAGACUUGAGUGUAAAACUGUUGUGGUAAUUGUAGUCCCAAGGCCAUCGCAGCAACCGUAGUCCCAGCAACCACAGCGAGAACGUCCAUGUGGAAUUGAGGUCCAAAAGCAUUUCCGUGGUACUUCUAGCGGUCCCAUCCUCAGCAAUCUCCAGGCUGCACUGCUUGGGAUCGUCCUCAGUGGCAGAAUGUAGCCUCCAGUUGAUGAGAGCUCCAUUCAGAGGUAGGGCAUCAGGAUGGAUCAGGCAGGUCCGGAGAGCAGAAAGGAUCAGGAUCACCGGCAUCUCCAUAAUAUUAUGUGUGGCUUGUCAGAAGGAGAGAGGGAAAGGGAGGUAAAGAGAGGGAGAGAUUGUUAGGUAUGCUUACUAUCCCAUAAUGGAUAAGACCGUGUACUUUGUGUAAAAGAAAGUCUAUUCAUGGUAAGCUUGAGUAAACAAAUAUGUUUUCAGUAUCUCGGAUGGACACGCAGACAAACCUAGUGUCAGAGGCAUAAAUUCUUAUAAUAUAUUCAUAUUAUAAGAAUAUUCACAAAUUCUUGAAUAUAUAAACAUUAUGUAAACUUUCACAGAACCCAAAAGCACAACCUUUAGACUUUAAAUGGUCUAGGAGCCAAAUGUUCAUCUUUUUUUUUUAAUUUUUAUAAAAUGUAUAAAAGCUGUAUAUCAACUGAACCCAAAUUUAAAGCUAAACCUAAAAUUAAACUCAAAGCUGGAUCUGGAUUAAAACAUUACAAGUGGCAGGAAAAUGCAUGAACACCUGAAUGUUCUGUGAUGGUGUGUGUGUGUGAUCAGGCAUUAAGUGUGACUUUAUCAUGAGUAGCUGCUGGAUGUAUAUCUCAUUUUUUCUCUCAUUUUAAUGGUAAUUAUACAUAAUGCCACAUAAUGAACCUAAAAUGGAGCUCCAGCUACAAAUGUCAGACAGUGACACGUUGCCUU